UACGUAGGGGGCAGGCGUUGUCCGGAAUCAUUGGGCGUAAAGCGCGCGUAGGCGGCCCUGUAAGUCCGUUGUGAAAGUCAAAGGCUCAACCUUUGAAAGCCGAUGGAUACUGCAGGGCUAGAGUCCGGAAGAGGCGAGUGGAAUUCCUGGUGUAGCGGUGGAAUGCGCAGAUAUCAGGAGGAACACCAAUAGCGAAGGCAGCUCGCUGGGACGGUACUGACGCUAAGGCGCGAAAGCGUGGGGAGCGAACAGG
rnacentral:rRNA from 1 species